rnacentral:rRNA from 1 species
GACGAACGCUGGCGGCGUGCUUAACACAUGCAAGUCGAACGGAAAGGCCCUGCUUUUGUGGGGUGCUCGAGUGGCGAACGGGUGAGUAACACGUGAGUAACCUGCCCUUGACUUUGGGAUAACUUCAGGAAACUGGGGCUAAUACCGGAUAGGAGCUCCUGCUGCAUGGUGGGGGUUGGAAAGUUUCGGCGGUUGGGGAUUGACUCGCGGCUUAUCAGCUUGUUGGUGGGGUAGUGGCUUACCAAGGCUUUGACGGGUAGCCGGCCUGAGAGGGUGACCGGCCACAUUGGGACUGAGAGACGGCCCAGACGCCUACGGGAGGCAGCAGUGGGGAAUAUUGCACAAUGGGCGGAAGCCUGAUGCAGCAACGCCGCGUGCGGGAUGACGGCCUUCGGGGUGUAAACCGCUUUCGCCUGUGACGAAGCGUGAGUGACGGUAAUGGGUAAAGAAGCACCGGCUAACUACGUG